rnacentral:rRNA from 1 species
UACGUAGGGCGCGAGCGUUGUCCGGAAUUAUUGGGCGUAAAGAGCUCGUAGGCGGUCUGUCGCGUCGGCUGUGAAAACUCGGGGCUCAACCCCGAGCCUGCAGUCGAUACGGGCAGACUAGAGUGCUGUAGGGGAGACUGGAAUUCCUGGUGUAGCGGUGAAAUGCGCAGAUAUCAGGAGGAACACCGGUGGCGAAGGCGGGUCUCUGGGCAGUAACUGACGCUGAGGAGCGAAAGCGUGGGGAGCGAACAGG